rnacentral:ncRNA from 1 species
UUACGGGUGACGGGGAAUCAGGGUUCGAUUCCGGAGAGGGAGCCAGAGAAACGGCUACCACACCCAAGGAAGGUAGCAGGCGCGCAAAUUACCCAUUCCCGACGCGGGGAGGUAGUGACGAAAAAUAACAAUGCAGGACUCGUUCGAGGCCCUGUAAUUGGAAUGAGUACACUUUAAAAGCUUUAACGAGUAUCCAUUGGAGGGCAAGUCUGGUGCCAGCAGCCGCGGUAAUUCCAGCUCCAAAAGUAUAUAUUUAAGUUGUUGCGGUUAAAAAGCUCGUAGUUGGAUUUUGGGCGCAGGCGGCCGGUCCGUCGCAAGGCGUGUACUGGACGUCCUGGCCUUCCCUCCGGUUCUCCGCCGGUGCUCUUGACUGAGUGUCGGCGGCGGCCGGAACGUUUACUUUGAAAAAAUUAGAGUGUUCAAAGCAGGCUCUCGAGCCUGGAUAAUGGUGCAUGGAAUAAUGGAAUAGGACCUCGGUUCUAUUUUGUUGGUUUUCGGAGCGCGAGGUAAUGAUUAAGAGGGACAGACGGGGGCAUUCGUACUGUGCCGUUAGAGGUGAAAUUCUUGGAUCGGCGCAAGACGAACGACUGCGAAAGCAUUUGCCAAGAAUGUUUUCUUUAAUCAAGAGCGAAAGUCAGAGGUUCGAAGACGAUCAGAUACCGU